UACGUAGGUGGCGAGCGUUGUCCGGAUUUACUGGGCGUAAAGAGCGCGCAGGCGGUCGUCCAAGUCGCGUGUGAAAGCCCCCGGCUCAACUGGGGAGGGUCACGCGAUACUGAUCGACUCGAAGGCAGGAGAGGGAAGCGGAAUUCCCGGUGUAGUGGUGAAAUGCGUAGAUAUCGGGAGGAACACCUGUGGCGAAAGCGGCGCACUGGACCAUAACUGACGCUGAGGCGCGAAAGCUAGGGGAGCAAACAGG
rnacentral:rRNA from 1 species